rnacentral:rRNA from 1 species
GAUGAACGCUGGCGGCGUGCCUAAUACAUGCAAGUCGAGCGAACAGACGAGGAGCUUGCUCCUCUGACGUUAGCGGCGGACGGGUGAGUAACACGUGGAUAACCUACCUAUAAGACUGGGAUAACUUCGGGAAACCGGAUCUAAUACCGGAUAAUAUAUUGAACCGCAUGGUUCAAUAGUGAAAGACGGUUUUGCUGUCACGUAUAGAUGGAUCCGCGCCGCAUUAGCUAGUUGGUAAGGUAACGGGUUAUCACGGAAACGCUGCGUAGCCGACCUGAGAGGGUGAUAGGCCACACGGGAACGGAAACACCGUCCAGACGCCUAAGGGAGGCACCAGUAGGGAAUCUUCCGCAAUGGGCGAAAGCAUGACGGAGUAACGCCGCGUGAGUGAUGAAGGUCUUCGGAGCGUAAAACUCUGUUAUUAGGGAAGAACAAAUGUGUAAGUAACUAUGCACGUCUUGACGGUACCUAAUCAGAAAGCAACGGCUAACUACGUG